CUUGACAGACUAUAAGAGGUCCAGCCUGCCCAGUGACUCUGUUCAACGGCCGCGGUAUCCUAACCGUGCGAAGGUAGCGUAAUCACUUGUUCUUUAAAUGAGGACUAGUAUGAAUGGCACCACGAGGGUUAUACUGUCUCCUUUUUCUAAUCAGUAAAACUAAUCUUCCCGUGCAGAAGCGGGAAUAAACCUAUAAGACGAGAAGACCCUAUGGAGCUUUAAACUAAGUCACAUUUGCUUUACUCUCUACCCCUCCCCAGAGAAGUCAUAAACAUCUUAACAAACUGAUGACUAGUUUUCGGUUGGGGUGACCGCGGAGCAGAAAAAAACCUCCACAUUGAAAGGAAUUUAAUCCUAAGCCAAGAGCCACAACUCUAAGCAUCAAUAAAACGACAUUAAUUGACCCAAUAUAUUGAUCAACGAAC
rnacentral:rRNA from 1 species